CCUACGGGAGACAGCAGUGGGGGAUAUUGCACAAUGGGGGGAACCCUGAUGCAGCGACGCCGCGUGGGUGAAGAAGCGCCUCGGCGCGUAAAGCCCUGUCAGCAGGGAAGAAAAUGACGGUACCUGAAGAAGAAGCCCCGGCUAACUACGUGCCAGCAGCCGCGGUCAUACGUCGGGGGCAAGCGUUAUCCGGAUGUACUGGGUGUAAAGGGGGCGCAGACGGCGAUGCAAGCCAGGAGGGAAAGCCCGGGGCCCAACCCCGGGACUGCUCUUGGAACUGCGUGGCUGGAGUGCAGGAGGGGCAGGCGGAAUUCCAGGUGUAGCGGUGAAAUGCGUAGAUAUCAGGAGGAACACCAGUGGCGAAGGCGGCCUGCUGGACUGCAACUGACGUUGAGGCCCGAAAGCGUGGGGAGCAAACAGGAUUAGAUACCCGGGUAGUC
rnacentral:rRNA from 1 species